rnacentral:rRNA from 1 species
CGGCUUUCAAAGAGGGAGCAGGCGCGCAAUUACCCAAUCCUGACUCAGGGAGGUAGUGACAAGAAAUAACAAUAAACCGGCUUAUGCCGGUUUAAUUGGAAUGAGUACAAUUUAAACAUCUUAACGAGGAACAAUUGGAGGGCAAGUCUGGUGCCAGCAGCCGCGGUAAUUCCAGCUCCAAUAGCGUAUACUAAAGUUGUUGCAGUUAAAAAGCUCGUAGUUGGAUUUCUGUGGGGACGGAGCGGCCGGCCGCACAUCGCGGUUCGAGCUAGCGCUUUCCCUACAUCCUGCCGCGAACCGUGCUACCAUUAGUUUGGUGGCGCCGGGGAUCGGCUCGAUUACUUUGAGAAAAAUAGAGUGUUCAAAGCAGGCCACAUGCCUUGAAUAAGUUAGCAUGGAAUAAUAACUAAGGACUUCGGUUCUAUUUUGUUGGUGUUCGGGACUGAAGUAAUGAUUGAUAGGGACAGUUGGGGCGGUCUGUAUUCCAAAGCGAGAGGUGAAAUUCUUAGACCUUCGGAAGACAAACAGCUGCGAAAGCGUUCCGCAAGGAUGUUCCCUUUGAUCAAGAACGAAAGUUGGGGGAUCGAAGACGAUCAGAUACCGUCGUAGUCUCAACUAUAAACUAUACCAGCUAGGGAUCGGCCAACGUUAUUUUAUACCGACUUGGUCGGCACCUUAUGAGAAAUCAAAGCAUCUGGGUUCCGGGGGGAGUAUGGUCGCAAGGCUGAAACUUAAAGGAAUUGACGGAAGGGCACCACCAGCCGUGGAGCCUGUGGCUUAAUUUGACUCAACACGGGAAAACUUACCAGGUCCAGACAUAGUAAGGAUUGACAGAUUGAUAGCUCUUUCUUGAUUCUGUGGGUGGUGGUGCAUGGCCGUUCUUAGUUGGUGGAGUGAUUUGUCUGGUUAAUUCCGUUAACGAACGAGACCCCAGCCUGCUAAAUAGCGCGCGUGAGCUUUGCUCGCGGCGAGCUUCUUAGAGGGACUAUGAUGCGCGAUAGCACAUGGAAGUUUGGGGCAAUAACAGGUCUGUGAUGCCCUUAGAUGUUCUGGGCCGCACACGGGCUACACUGGCGCCUGCAACGAGCAUAUCAGCUGGCCCGAGAGGGUCUUGGCUAAUCUUUUGAACCGGCGCCGUGCUUGGGAUUGACCUUUGCAAUUGUUGGUCAUGCAACGAGGAAUGCCUUGUAAACACGAGUCAUCAGCUCGCAUUGAAUACGUCCCUGCCCUUUGUACACACCGCCCGUCGCUCCUACCGAUGAAUGUUCCGAUGAAAUUUUCGGAGAGCACCUGUGAACUUGGCUCUGCCUUGCGAACGGGAGGCUCAAAGUCACUUAAAUCUUUCCUUAAGG